rnacentral:tmRNA from 1 species
CCUGGCUUCGACGUGGGUCACGAAACCUCUGGAGCAUGCCGAGGUGCAGAGUUCCUCGUAAAUCCAGCUGCAAAAACUUUAGUUGCGAACGACGACAACUACGCCCUAGCGGCUUAAUCCCCGCUAGCCCUUCGCCCAGUGUCUCGCCUAUGGGCCGGAACGAAGGGUCGAUCACAUAGGCUCGCGUUGCAUCGUGUCUGUUGGUGCGGCGCUAAAUCAAUAGCAGGCUAAGCCUAUCAACGAUCUAGUCUGUCGGAGCGUGGUAGGUCAAAUAAAAGACGGACUACGCAUGUAGAACUGGCGAUGUAGUACUUGCGGACGCGGGUUCGAUUA